rnacentral:rRNA from 1 species
UAAACGUUGGGCACUAGGUGUGGGGGACAUUCCCACGUUUUCCGCGCCGUAGCUAACGCAUUAAGUGCCCCGCCUGGGGAGUACGGCCGCAAGGCUAAAACUCAAAGGAAUUGACGGGGGCCCGCACAAGCGGCGGAGCAUGCGGAUUAAUUCGAUGCAACGCGAAGAACCUUACCAAGGCUUGACAUGAACCGGUAAGACCUGGAAACAGGUCCCCCGCUUGCGGUCGGUUUACAGGUGGUGCAUGGUUGUCGUCAGCUCGUGUCGUGAGAUGUUGGGUUAAGUCCCGCAACGAGCGCAACCCUCGUUCUAUGUUGCCAGCACGUGAUGGUGGGGACUCAUAGGAGACUGCCGGGGUCAACUCGGAGGAAGGUGGGGACGACGUCAAAUCAUCAUGCCCCUUAUGUCUUGGGCUUCACGCAUGCUACAAUGGCCGGUACAAAGGGUUGCGAUACUGUGAGGUGGAGCUAAUCCCAAAAAGCCGGUCUCAGUUCGGAUUGGGGUCUGCAACUCGACCCCAUGAAGUCGGAGUCGCUAGUAAUCGCAGAUCAGCAACGCUGCGGUGAAUACGUUCCCGGGCCUUGUACACACCGCCCGUCAAGUCACGAAAGUUGGUAACACCCGAAGCCGGUGGCCUAACCCCUUGUGGAGGGAGC